rnacentral:rRNA from 1 species
UACGAAGGGGGCUAGCGUUGUCGAGAUACUGGGCGUAAAGGGCGCGUAGGCGGAUUCUGUUAAGUCAGGGAAGUCCGAAAGGCCGUCAACCUUGGAACUGCCUUUGAUACUGGGAUCUUGAGUUCGGGAGAGGUGAGUGGAAUCGUGCGAGUGUAGAGGUGAAAUUCGUAGAUAUUCGGAAGAACACCAGUGGCGAAGGCGGCUUACGUGGUCCGGUACUGACGCUGAGGUGCGAAAGCGUGGGGAGCAAACAGG